UGGCAGAAGGGUCAAGAGUGUUCUCUGAGGUCUCUUUUGUAAGGAUACUAAAAUCAUUCACAAGGUUCUACCUCUAUGAUGUAAUCACCUCCUAAGGGUUUCACAUUCUAAUACCAUCAUAUUGAUAUAGAAUAAUCAUACUGUUUAGAAUUUAACAAGCAAAUGUGGGGGGAGGGUCACAAACAUUCGGUCACAGUAGUAAGCCUGAAGAGGACAUAGACAACCAUGUGAAAAUUGAAACAACUUACAGCAAUUAAAUACACAUGAAUAUUUUAGCAGUAUAAUCAAGAAGAUCAUAUCAGCCACUCCAUGCAGAGGAGGAGAAUCGACGUCCCUUUUCUUGAAUACAGGCAUGUUUACACCUUCUGCGGCCAACAGAGUUUGGUAGAAAUGAAGCUGGAAGGUUUCCAAAGCUAGACCAGGAAAGCCUAUGCAGGUUCUUCUUAGUUCUCCUGGAAUGACCAUUCCUUUCCCAAGAUGCUCCUUCUCAGAACCUACCUGCCAUGCUGUGAGAUGCCCAAGCCACGUGGAGGGGCCACAUGUGGAUGCCCCAUUCCACAGGCCCAACUAAGACCAGACUUGGAGUCGUUCCUUAGGUUUAUCUGCAGAAUCCUCCAGAUAAUUCCAGCCUCCAGACAUUUGAAUAUUCCUAACUGAAAUCCCAGAUGACCCACAGAAUC